GGUUGCAGAAUAUUUACUUUUACAUAUGCCUUACAAUAACAUGAAAUUUAAGUUCUUGUGAAUUACAGUGUAGUCUAUGCUGCCCACUCUUGGGUGUUUAUGCUGCUACAGUGAAUUACAUUGUAGUCAAUAUGGGACAAUAAUGUCCUUGUAUAGGCAGCAACCUAUAAUUGAAUGGUGAUUUUGGACUGGUUUCUACUUUUUAGAAUGAAUUAAUGCAUUGCAAAUGACAUAGUUGUAAUGUUUAUAGACAUUUGAAAAAAAUUAUUAGAAAGAUGACAAUCUUGGUUAGUUUUUGGAGUGGGCUGUUGCCUUUAGAUAAAGACAUCAACUUCAGUUUUGGUUGUACAGAGCACUAAUCUUUAUGAAGAAGGAAUGAGAUUACUUUUGACAAUUUUUUUUGUCUUUGAAGGAUGUGUGUUAGUGCUCCUUGUACUUAAGGAGAACCACUCAUUCUAGAAUGCACCAGGCCUUGAAAUUCCAUCAAGGGAAGGUAUUCUUUACUUCCUCUAUAAUUUCUACCCGAUAUAAUGCUUUGCUUGAGACAUUUUUGUUUAGAAACAGUGUUGAUUCUGAACUGUUUCUUGAUAUGCAACUUUAUGCUUCCAUACAUCUUUGAACCAAUGAAAUCUAGAGCAAGAAGAUUGACUAAAGCCAUGUAUAUCAGAAGGGCAGCAGAUGAUGCAUCCAGCAGCCCCACGGUAAUCAAUAGUUUACAGUAUAGUGACACUGCAAUAACAUAAAGCUGGAGGCUUAUCCUUUUUGACUGAAAGUGAUUUACUAAUUGUGUGUUAAGACUUGCAUUUUGGGACAAGCAGAAAAUUAUUUGAUCUCAUGCUCAUGUUUGUCAAGUCCUGGUCUCUACAAGAUUUGCUGCUGGAUUGUCUUAUUUGAGACCUUGUUGGGAGAGCUGGGGUGAUUCUGGGAACACUGCCUUGCCUUGUCAGGAUGAAAUUUUGCGCAAGGUUGUUCAACGAUUUAAAGAAAAAACAAUUGAAAAAAGAUAAGUAUUCCCUUCACUUGCACAUUGAUAAUAUUCUUUGUCUUUACCUCUCUGUUAAGCCUACCAUUGCCACAAAGCCUACAUAAAUGACAGGAGUGCCGGCAUUACAAAUACUAUUGGUCUAGCAAUGGGGAUUGAAGCCCUAAAGUACAUCAGUUACCCUGCACAGGCAUGGUUCUGGCAAAAUCCUCAAAAAUGAUUCCUGGCAAAGGGAAAUGCUGGUGGAAUUAGUGCAACACUUGUAAGCUCAUCUGAGGAUGUAGAGAGACUAGAGAGAAUAGCCAAUGUUAGUUCUGGUCCUCCCGGAAAAUCAUGGGUGGACCCUUCUAUCAAGAAGCUUGAGGGAAGCAUAUGUUAGGGAAUGAAUUAACAAGCAUUGCGGAAGCGGGUACGGUGAUCGCGAAUUGAGAAUUAUAGGGAAGUUAAAAUAAUAUGGGAAAAAUAUAAAAUGACAAAUAAUGGAUAUAUUAAUUUUGGGGAGAUUGGAAAUAUAAUUCUCUAAAAUUAUUGUAAAGGAAAUAUUACAAUAAAGAGAUUGCUAAGCUUAAAAUAGAAAUGAAAGAAAGCUAGCAAUGAAAAAUAAUCCUACGUGAGAGCUAGAGAAUUGAGAAAGAAUGAAUUGAUAUGUUGAGGGAUGCUUUGGUUCCUGCAGAAGCUAGCUAUUUAUAGUUGUUGAAAGGGAACAUUUGAUAGUGGAGGAAUGAGUUGGCCACAUGAAGAUGAGAUGUCCAGAUGCAUGGUCCAUGUGAUGAUGAGUUGGAGAUGAAACCCAUGUGAUGAGGAGUGGGCUGCCAUGUGAAAGCAGAAUUAUUUGAUCCACUUAACCUCAUAUUUCCAAUGGGAUUUACCAAGGGAGCAACAGAUAGAAAUACAAAAGCUGGAACUAAAAUUAUUAGUUUUGCAAGUAGGCAAGUUCAGCCUACAGAUAGAAUUAUUUUCAAUUGACAAGAUUUUAUAGCUUUGCUUACAUAAUCUCUCGAUCUAGUCUUUCCUGCUGUUGUAAUUUAAGUUCUUGAUUAUGGAUUCUCUUUGAAAUACAAGUGAAAGAGCUUUUUUGAACC